rnacentral:rRNA from 1 species
CAUUUUUGACCUCAACUCAGUCGUGAUUACCCGCUA